UAAAUAGCCAGAUUGGCUUUUGCUAAUCGCUGGCUUCUUAGAGGGACUGUCUGUGUCUAACAGACGGAAGUUUGAGGCAAUAACAGGUCUGUGAUGCCCUUAGAUGUUCUGGGCCGCACGCGCGCUACACUGACAGAGCCAGCGAGUAUCUUUCCUUGGCCGGAAGGUCUG
rnacentral:rRNA from 1 species